AAUCAACGCUGGCGGCGUGCCUAACACAUGCAAGUCGAACGCGAGAGGGGCUUCGGCCCCGAUUGAGUGGCGAACGGGUGAGUAACGCGUGGGUGACCUACCUUCGAGUGGGGGAUAACGUCCCGAAAGGGACGCUAAUACCGCAUAACAUCCUGCUUUUGAAUGGGUGGAGAUCAAAGCCGGGGAUCGCAAGACCUGGCGCUUGAUGAGGGGCCCGNGUCUGAUUAGCUAGUUGGGAGGUAACGGCCCACCAAGGCAACGAUCAGUAUCCGGCCUGAGAGGGCGGACGGACACACUGGGACUGAGACACGGCCCAGACUCCUACGGGAGGCAGCAGUGGGGAAUUGUUCGCAAUGGGCGCAAGCCUGACGACGCAACGCCGCGUGGAGGAUGAAGGUC
rnacentral:rRNA from 1 species